rnacentral:rRNA from 1 species
AUACGGAGGGGGUUAGCGUUGUUCGGAAUUACUGGGCGUAAAGCGCACGUAGGCGGAUUGGAAAGUUGGGGGUGAAAUCCCAGGGCUCAACCCUGGAACUGCCUCCAAAACUAACAGUCUAGAGUUCGAGAGAGGUGAGUGGAAUUCCAAGUGUAGAGGUGAAAUUCGUAGAUAUUUGGAGGAACACCAGUGGCGAAGGCGGCUCACUGGCUCGAUACUGACGCUGCGGUGCGAAAGCGUGGGGAGCAAACAGGAUUAGAAACCCUAGUAGUCC